CCCCACCUUCNACAGCUCCNCCCACGAUGGGUUNGGCCACGGCUUCGGGUGUUGCCGACUUUCGUGACGUGACGGGCGGUGUGUNCAANGCCCGGGAACGUAUUCACCGCAGCGUUGCUGAUCUGCGAUUACUAGCGACUCCGACUUCAUGGGGUCGAGUUGCAGACCCCNAUCCGAACUGAGACCGGCUUUUUGGGAUUCGCUCCCCCUCACGGGAUCGCAGCCCUUUGUACCGGCCAUUGUNGCAUGCGUGAAGCCCUGGACAUAAGGGGCAUGAUGACUUGACGUCAUCCCCACCUUCCUCCGAGUUGACCCCGGCAGUCUCCUAUGANUCCCACCAUGCCCGAANACACGUNCUGGCAACAUANGACNAAGGUUGCGCUCNUUGCGGGACUUAACCCAACAUCUCNCGACACGANCUGACNACAGCCAUGCNCCNCCUGUUCCCCGACNAAAAAGGGCCCCAUCUCUGCCCUUUCC
rnacentral:rRNA from 1 species